AACGAACGCUGGCGGUGUGCUUAACACAUGCAAGUCGAACGGCAAGACCCUGCUUGUGUGGUCUUCUCGGGUGGCGAACGCGGACGUAACACGUGAGCAACCUGCUCUUGAUUUUGGGAUAACUUCAGGAAACUGGGGCUACUAUCGGAUCGCAUCCCCUGUAGCAUGGAGGGCGUUGGAAAUUUUCGGCGGUUGUGGAUGGAUUAGCGGCUUAUCAGCUAGUUGGUCGGGUAGUUGCUGACCCACGCAUUGACGGGUAGCCGGCCUGUGAGGGUGACCGGCCACAAUGCGCCUGAGAGACGGCGCAGUCUCCUACGGGAGGCAACAGGCGCGAAUAUUGCACAAUGGUCGGAAGCCGGAUGCGGCAACGCCGCGUGCGGGAUGACGGCCUUCGGGGUGUAAACCGCUGUCGCCUGUGACGAAGCGUUAGUGACGGUAAUGGGUAAAGAAGCACCGGCUAACUACGUG
rnacentral:rRNA from 1 species